AUAGUUUCCACCUGAGCGGAGAGUCAUCAUACAUAACUCAAAGUCUUAUUACUUCUGAGUCUCUAUGAUUGUGUCGAUACUGGUUGAGUCUUUAUAUGGAAGUUAUACAAUUGCACCAAGCAUUAUGGACGUAUUUGAAAGAACAUCUCAGCUGACAGUAGGGUAAAAUUAAUCUAACACGUUUUUAACAAUAUUUUAUACCAUGUUGUAAAGUGUGUUUUUUCACUGUUUUGCAGGCGUCUGAAAUAGGAAGAAUCCAGGACUUGCAGGCUGUUUUACUUGUUGAGGCCAUAUCGCUAUGAAAAUGCCACAGGCAAACAAAUUUCCCACACAGUAGAGCCUUAAUGAUAUACUUUUUAGGUUCUUCUAUAAACAACAGCCAACCUUGGAUGAUAUGUAUCACAAUUUUCAAUUCCAUAGCAUUAACGGGCAAAAAAUGCGCAAGAGCAGAAACACUAAUAAGACGCAUUUCAUAGAGCCAUACUUUCAAAUAAGACCCUUAUCCAAUGGCCAGGCGCAUCCCCAUGUUAUUUUUCCAUCUAGAUAUAAUCAGAUUCAGGUGUCCUUUGCCUCUGAAGUAGGAAGAAUCCAGGAUUAGCAGGCUGUUUUACUUGUUGAGGCCAUAUCGCUAUGAAAAUGCAACAUGCAAACAAAUUUCCCAUACAGUAGAGCCUUAAUGAUAUACUUUUUAGGUUCUUCUAUAAACAACAGCCAACCUUGGAUGCUAUGCAUCACAAUUUUCAGUUAGGCCUAUUCUAGAAUGAAACUUACAUGAAAUAAAAGUGUAAACUCGAAGCGCAGUGCUUUCGUAACAAUCGUUGUUCUCAAGCUGAAACCACAUACAGAAGUAUUAAAGUGGUUUUUUUUUACAGAUUCCAUAGUAUUUACGGCCACAAAAUGCGCAAGAGCAGACACACUAAUUAGUCGCAUUUCAUAGAUCCACACUUUCAAAUAAGACUGUUAUUCAAUUGCCAGGCGCAUCCCCAUGUUAUUUUUCCAUCUAGAUAAAAUCAGAUUCAGGUGUCCUUUGUAAGUCAUUAACA